rnacentral:lncRNA from 1 species
GUAGGUCAGUAUUUUUAUCAUCCCUGUUUUGGAAAUUACAUUAAAUCGGUGCAUGCAUCAUUAAAAAAAUCUUAAACUUCUAGAGAUUUGGAAGCAUUCUGUGACUGGAGACGAUGCUCAGGCAGCGAUCACACCUAACACAAAGUUCUAAUGGCAGGGCAGCGGAGAGCGGAUCGCCCUUGUGCUUCCCAGUGUAGCCAGUGAAAGUCAAGUCUUUUUAUUUUUACUGGUUUCGAUGCUUGCACACAAACAAUGUGGCAGUUAAUGUGUUAGGUUCUUUUGUAUAUCAGUCAGGGUGCAUUUGAGAAAAUCAAGCUCCUUCUAGAUAUUUCAAACAAGUUUGAUACAAAAAAAUUGGUUACGCAUGUUUUGAAUGGAUUAUAAGAACAAAUGGAAGGAUUAGGUGCUGGGAGAGCAAUGAAAAAUAAGCGGUGAUACCAAGAAACCAGUAACUUCAGGAAUCUGUCCUGCUUCCAGCUCUGGGGGAACAAGAGUGGGGAGAUCUAGUUCGUAAAGUCUUAGAGCACCAUUGCUGCUGGGCUGGAACCACGCAGAGGAGCCCCACGUCAGGAGCUAGAAUCACAGGGGGAGGCACCCACCUCCAGAGCCGCUGCCAAAGCAGGAAGGAACAGCUUCUCCUCUGCUCCCACCCUCUGAUCUUGCACCAGUGCUUCCUAUGGGUAGAAACUCAUAGGAAGUCAGCAGCGAGGGAGCCUGGCCAUGUGGGUUGCAAGUUUCUAGCUCUAGCUUUACGCAGCUAAAUGGAGAAGGGUGGCUGCAGGGCUGAGAGAGAGCGGGUAACUAACUGGCUCUCUUGUAAAUUCUCUGAUUUUUCCUGGAGGCUCAGGGAGAUUUAGGAGAUUGCUGCAGGCCUUUACACUAGCAAGUGGUGGAGCUGCUCUUCAAGCCCAGGUUUCCCAGCUCCAAGGCUAAGUGUGUUCCAGGCGCCACCCUUGAUCUCUCGCAAUCUUAGCGUGCUCACCUUCCCAACGAGGCUCCGGUGUCGGUGUUGGCAGGCAUAAAGAAGAGAAGUGGCAGCCAGCCUGGCCUUCAGACUGGAAAGAAGCAUGUUUUCUAAAGAAUGAAAACAUUCUUUGCUGGCUGGCUGUGCUAGAAACCCAGUAGAGACCA